GUAUAUAGCUCAGUGGUAAAGCAGUUGCCUGACAUGCACAAGGGUCUGGGUUCAACUUGCAGUACCACA
rnacentral:tRNA from 1 species